GGAUGACUCAUAGUUUUAUAAAUUAUAACUUUUAGAUGUUGAAAAUUUUAUUUUUUAAUAUGCUAAAUUGAUAAAUUGAAGAGAUUUUUUAAAACUUCUAAAAAUAUGUUUCUUAAACAAGUAAAAUAUUUUCUUAACUUUUAAAAAUCUUUAUUUUGAAAAAUUUUACUUUCAAACAUAGUGUAGAAUGGCUUCAAAAGACAUGUACCACAGGGAAUGCCUCAUGGAAUGAUGGUCCCUCCAAAAGAGAAAAAUUCAAGUUCCAUGCGGGAGAAUCGCUAGUCUGCUGUGUACCAAAUUAACUUUGGGCCAAAGUAAAGUAAAGAAAGAGCGGAUAAUUGAUUGACCAUAUCAGACAUGUAAUGUAAUACUUCAGUGGGGCUGGUGGGAUCAAAUUUUGAAAUUAUGAACCUUAAUUUUUCACCGUUUACCUAACACGCUUCUUGUUAGGGAGGUGGAUGGUGUAAUGAUUUGCAAUCAUGCUCGGAGAGAGCCAAAACACGCCGUGGAUCUACACGCUACAUGAACAAGCAGGAGGUCUUCUCCGGAAUCCUAAGCAACAAUGCCUCUCUAAAUC
rnacentral:misc_RNA from 1 species